rnacentral:rRNA from 1 species
UACGGGGGGGGCAAGCGUUGUUCGGAAUUACUGGGCGUAAAGGGCUCGUAGGUGGCCAACUAAGUCAGACGUGAAAUCCCUCAGCUUAACCGGGGAACUGCAUCUGAUACUGGAUGGCUUGAGUUCGGGAGAGGGAUGCGGAAUUCCAGGUGUAGCGGUGAAAUGCGUAGAUAUCUGGAGGAACACCGGUGGCGAAGGCGGCAUCCUGGACCGACACUGACGCUGAGGAGCGAAAGCCAGGGGAGCAAACGGG